AUACCACUAAAACCACCAAAACAAUGGUUUCAAAGAUUAGAUUCUACAACUACAAAAUUCUAUACUAGAAAUAAAAAACCUAAAAUAAGCCUUUCUACCCUUCAAAAAAACAAAGACGAGGGUGGUUUAGAAGCCCCUAAUUUCAUGCAUUAUUACUUAGCAAACCAAAUACUAUAUUUAACAGAAUGGCUAAAUCCAAAAGAAUACUACAACACCUGGCUAGAAAUAGAACAGUUAGACUGCAAACACAUUAAACUCUCUGAUCUCCCUUUUAUCACUGCGACCCUCAAACAUCACAACUGCUUUAAAAACCCACUAAUUGCCUCCACACUGACUGCAUGGUGGAAAGCCCUGGACAUCACAAAUGGCCAAUUAAAAACUAGUAUACUCUCUCCAAUCUGGCACAACCCCGACUUUAAAAAUAAAAAAACACCACUCUAUCUGAAGACAUGGGAAGAGAGUGGAAUCACUCAUCUCCAAGACCUUUUUGAAAAUGACAAGAUCAGGUCAUAUAACAAUCUAACCCAAGCAUUCGAUAUAAAUAAAAGUAACUUUCUACAGUACUUACAAGUAACAGAGACAAUAAAGAAAACCACUCCACUAGACUUAACUACGUUACAACCUCCAGAACUGGCUAUAUAUAUGAAAAAAAUCUCAACAAAAUCAAAAAAACUCUCAAAAAUAUACAGAGCGCUUUCGAACACUAACUGUAAUUACUUACCAAUCGCGAAGUGGGAGGCCGAACUCUCAAUCACCCCGAGCACUGAUUUCUGGGCAGAAAUUUGUUGUAAUACUUUUAAGAUGACAAAAAACACAAACCUUCAGCUAAUUCAAUACAAGGUCCUCCACAGAUCCCACAUUACCCAACAGAAAAUGCAUAAAAUGGGCUUCUCAGCAACAGACAUCUGCUCUCAGUGCACCCAGAAUACAGCGGAUUCCUAUUUACAUGCCUUAUGGCUUUGCUCCCCAGUUCAACACUUUUGGAUUCUAAUCACUGAAAAACUGUCCUCCAUUUUGGACUACAGAAUUCCUUUAUCUCCAAAUCUUUGUUUGAUUGGAGACCUGACAAUGCUUCAACCUCCAGCAAACCAAU
rnacentral:lncRNA from 1 species